GACGAACGCUGGCGGCGUGCUUAACACAUGCAAGUCGAACGGAAAGACCCUGCUUUUGUGGGGUGCUCGAGUGGCGAACGGGUGAGUAACACGUGAGUAACCUGCCCUUGACUUUGGGAUAACUUCAGGAAACUGGGGCUAAUACCGGAUAGGAGCUCCUGCUGCAUGGUGGGGGUUGGAAAGUUUCGGCGGUUGGGGAUGGACUCGCGGCUUAUCAGCUUGUUGGUGGGGUAGUGGCUUACCAAGGCUUUGACGGGUAGCCGGCCUGAGAGGGUGACCGGCCACAUUGGGACUGAGAUACGGCCCAGACUCCUACGGGAGGCAGCGGUGGGGAAUAUUGCACAAUGGGCGGAAGCCUGAUGCAGCAACGCCGCGUGCAGGAUGACGACCUUCGGGUUGUAAACCGCUUUCGCCUGUGACGAAGCGUGAGUGACGGUAAUGGGUAAAGAAGCACCGGCUAACUACGUG
rnacentral:rRNA from 1 species